ACGGAGGGUGCAAGCGUUAUCCGGAAUCAUUGGGUUUAAAGGGCGCGUAGGCGGCGCGUUAAGUUAGAGGUGAAAUCUCUGGGCUUAACCCGGAAAGUGCAUUUAAAACUGCCUGUCUUGAGUCUCGUAGAGGAAGGUGGAAUUCGCAGUGUAGAGGUGAAAUGCGUAGAUAUUGGGCGGAACGCCGGUGGCGAAGGCGACCUUCUGGGCGCAGACUGACGCUGAGGCGCGAAAGCGUGGGGAGCAAACAG
rnacentral:rRNA from 1 species